AAUCUUCCACAAUGGACGCAAGUCUGAUGGAGCAACGCCGCGUGAGCGAAGAAGGUUUUCGGACCGUAAAGCUCUGUUGUUGGUGAAGAAGGAUAGAGGUAGUAACUGGCCUUUAUUUGACGGUAAUCAACCAGAAAGUCACGGCUAACUACGUGCCAGCAGCCGCGGUAAUACGUAGGUGGCAAGCGUUGUCCGGAUUUAUUGGGCGUAAAGCGAGCGCAGGCGGAAGAAUAAGUCUGAUGUGAAAGCCCUCGGCUUAACCGAGGAAUUGCAUCGGAAACUGUUUUCUUGAGUGCAGAAGAGGAGAGUAGAACUCCAUGUGUAGCGGUGGAAUGCGUAGAUAUAUGGAAGAAUACCAGUGGCGAAGGCGGCUCUCUGGUCUGCAACUGACGCUGAGGCUCGAAAGCAUGGGUAGCGAACAGGAUUAGAUACCCUGGUAGUCCAUGCCGUAAACGAUGAGUGCUAAGUGUUGGGAGGCUUCCGCCUCUCAGUGCUGCAGCUAACGCAUUAAGCACUCCGCCUGGGGGAGUACGACCGCAAGGUUGAAAC
rnacentral:rRNA from 1 species